CGAAAGCCUGGCGGAGCAAUACCGCGUGAGGGAGGAAGGCUCUUGGGUUGUAAACCUCUUUUCUCAGGGAAGAACAAAAUGACGGUAUCUGAGGAAUCAGCAUCGGCUAACUCCGUGCCAGCAGCCGCGGUAAUACGGAGGAUGCAAGCGUUAUCCGGAAUGAUUGGGCGUAAAGCGUCCGCAGGUGGCAUUGAAAGUCUGCUGUCAAAGAGUCUGGCUCAACCAGAUAAAGGCAGUGGAAACUACAAAGCUAGAGUACGUUCGGGGCAGAGGGAAUUCCUGGUGUAGCGGUGAAAUGCGUAGAGAUCAGGAAGAACACCGGUGGCGAAAGCGCUCUGCUAGGCCGUAACUGACACUGAGGGACGAAAGCUAGGGGAGCGAAUGGGAUUAGAUACCCCAGUAGUCCUAGCCGUAAACGAUGGAUACUAGGUGUUGCUUGUAUCGACCCGAGCAGUACCGUAGCUAACGCGUUGAGUAUCCCGCCUGGGGAGUACGCAGGCAACUGUGAAACUCAAAGGAAUUGACGGGGGCCCGCACAAGCGGUGGAGUAUGUGGUUUAAUUCAAUGCAACGCGAAGAACCUUACCAGGGCUUGACAUGUCGCGAAUCCUUGUGAAAGCAGGGAGUGCCCUCGGGAGCGCGAACACAGGUGGUGCAUGGCUGUCGUCAGCUCGUGUCGUGAGAUGUUGGGUUAAGUCCCGCAACGAGCGCAACCCUCGUUUUUAGUUGCCAUCAUUAAGUUGGGCACUCUAGAGAGACUGCCGGUGACAAACCGGAGGAAGGUGGGGAUGACGUCAAGUCAGCAUGCCCCUUACGUCCUGGGCUACACACGUACUACAAUGCUACGAACAGAGGGCAGCUAACCAGCGAUGGCAAGCUAAUCCCGGAAAUCGUAGCUCAGUUCAGAUCGCAGGCUGCAACUCGCCUGCGUGAAGUUGGAAUCGCUAGUAAUUGCAGGUCAGCAUACUGCAGUGAAUUCGUUCCCGGGCCUUGUACACACCGCCCGUCACACCAUGGAAGCUGGUAGUGCCCGAAGUCAUUACCCCAACCUUUCGGGGAGGGGGAUGCCUAAGGCAGGA
rnacentral:rRNA from 1 species